UACGUAGGCAGCGAGCGUUGUUCGGAAUCACUGGGCUUAAAGCGUGUGUAGGCGGAUCGUUAAGUGUCUUGUGAAAUCCCACGGCUCACCCGUGGAACGGCUGGGCAUACUGGCGAUCUUGGGCCAACUAGGGGCAACUGGAACAAGCGGUGGAGCGGUGAAAUGCGUAGAUAUCGCUUGGAACGCCGAAGGUGAAAACAGGUUGCUGGGGUUGUGCCGACGCUGAGACACGAAAGCCAGGGGAGCAAACGGG
rnacentral:rRNA from 1 species